CUGUGAUUGACAAGUCGUAACCAUGGCGACCUGUCAAUCAGACUAGAGUAACUCGUACCCACGGCACUAUGUAACUUUAAACAGCGCCGUUAUAAAAGCUUAUAAGGAGUUGGCUGUUCACUUUCUCUGGCCAGCAUGAAGGAGCACAGCAUGGGCCUGUGUGUUUCCGUCUGCGUCUGUCCACAGCACAUUACAACAGAUUAUUGGUGUCAGGGCCAGUGUGCGACUUCAGCUUUUUUUAAGAAGAUCAACUCAAGUUCACAUCAUGCAGCUAGCCGGUCAGGUCUUAUGGACAGAGCAAGAACUACUUGGAAGAUCCCUUUCUAUCGAUGGCGAGCCUCCCAGUGUGAUCUUGAAGAGACGCAGACCAACUCAUCGAACACUCCCCCUGGUGGUAGGAAAGUAUCAGUCGCCUGAGCUGGUACACACACUUCAUCCAAAAGUGCCAACUUUCCUCUUAAACAAGGAAACUGUCACAGAACUGGUGACACGCACUUUAACAGAGAACUACUGACAGUGGUCUGACUAAUACAGAAAGUGAUCAUAAACAGACAGACUUUAACGACUGCAAAAGGCAAAACCCAAAGACUCAUUUAUUUUAAAUUGCCCAUUUUUAUUUGUGUUUCAACUGUUAUUUGCAAAGUAAUGUGAGUAAAAGUUACUGGUUACAACUUA